CAAUAGCGUAUAUUAAAGUUGUUGCGGUUAAAAAGCUCGUAGUUGGAUUUCUGCCGAGGACGACCGGUCCGCCCUCCGGGUGAGUAUCUGGCUCGGCCUGGGCAUCUUCUUGGAGAACGUAGCUGCACUUGGCUGUGUGGUGCGGUAUUCAGGACUUUUACUUUGAGGAAAUUAGAGUGUUUCAAGCAGGCAUACGCCUUGAAUACAUUAGCAUGGAAUAAUAAGAUAGGACCUCGGUUCUAUUUUGUUGGUUUCUAGAUCUGAGGUAAUGAUUAAUAGGGAUAGUUGGGGGCAUUCGUAUUUAACUGUCCGAGGUGAAAUUCUUGGAUUUGUUAAAGACGGACUACUGCGAAAGCAUUUGCCAAGGAUGUUUUCAUUGA
rnacentral:rRNA from 1 species